rnacentral:lncRNA from 1 species
UCAGAGACCCAUAGGAGACUGCAGGCGUUUUGAGGACACAAUGGAACACAAUUUUUUUUUUAGGAUUCAGAACAUGAAGCCAAGUCUCAGGUCUCCUUAGAAUUCAGUUCUCUGUAGCUGGGUGAUAUUCAAGGUAAUAUACACCUCUGUUACCAGACCAGACAGUUUAAAGAUCCCUAGGGAAGUUUACUACUUGAAUCCAGUAAAAAUCACUCAUUUAGGUUAUUGUAAAAACUCUGUCUGAAUCGGUGAAGAAUAUUAAGUACAGCGAUUUUAACUCGGAGUUUUCUUACUUUCAGGUAGUAUGAAUGAGCCUGAGUGGCCAGGAGAACUCCCAGAGUAUCCAAGUUAACAACCCGGUUAGACAGACAUGCAAUUAGUACGUCAUCUGCUUGCUUUGUUUCUGUCUAACAGUGCUGUGCACCCUCCUCCCGCUUCUCAGUCAAGAUGGGACCCAGGAGCGCUCUCACUCUCGCCUUUCUUAACUGGAUCCCACAUAACAGGCUCCGUGGAGUCAGAAUGAGACCUGUGGGGGCCCUAGGUAAUCAUUUGGGAUCACUUUAAAUCAGUGUCCUUUAAAGAAUCUUCAGCAUUCAUUGAGUGGGGAAAAAAAAAAGAAGGUGAGCCCUGAACAGGUGAAGAGCUUAAGAGGACACAAGUGACAGUCCCCCAGGAAAGCCACAGCAGGGAAUUUAGCUGGCACUCCUCAGGUGGCACUUGGCUUACCACCUAUUGCUAUUCAAGCUCACUCCUUCCAGGGGAGAUCUUUCCAAACCUUUCCCCAACCCUAAGGUAUAGAACAGCUCAGAUUCCUUCCAACUAUGUGCACUAUUCUCCCAGAAGUGUAUCCUAAAUGCAGGGCUUCCAUCCCCUCACAUUUCUAUUAUGUUUAAAAAGUCCUCAUGAGCUGUACCUCCGGCUCCCUCUGCCUGGCUCAAGCCUGUCUCCAGCUCUCACCAUCUAUCUCCCGGGAGAGUGAGAUCUGACCCAAAAGAUGGAUUCAAUGGCAAAGAAUUGAGGGAUCCAAGCAGCAGCUACUGAAGAGCAGGUGAGAGAAGCAAGGGGACGAGCAGGGCGAAAAGCCACCAACCAGGCCAGCCUCUCUCUGCAGGCUGGGAUCUCCCUUGCAGUCACUAGAGGGUCCUCAGGUGACCUAGCACGCUCAGGCUCUACAAUUGCCUCUGCCACAUGGAGGUCCCAUGCCCCAUCCUCCAAGAUCCGAGUCCCUCUACUCAUAUCACUAGAUGAGACUGGUCUUUGCAACAAAUGAAGGAGUGACAUUUGCUGGAGUUCAAGUUUCAUUUCCUCAACCCACUGGUGCUAGAGUUUCAUUUUUCAAAAGAAGUCGACAUUGAAUAUUGAUAUGUGUUAUGAAAGCUGUAAAAUCAAGGAGGAUAACAAGGCGUUGUUAUUGACAUGGGGUGUGUCUGAGGGCACACUGGCAGUAAAAAUGAGUUUCCCACACAUUCCCACGUAGGCGGCUGCUCAGCGUCACCAACCACUGGUUAAUUCAUUAAUAUUAUUCAGUGAAAAACACUUCUUCCAUUCCAUUUGUUAAUAAAUCUAUUUUCAUUCUUAUGGAAAUCA